UACGUAGGGUGCAAGCGUUAAUCGGAAUUACUGGGCGUAAAGCGUGCGCAGGCGGUUGUGCAAGACCGAUGUGAAAUCCCCGGGCUUAACCUGGGAAUGGCAUUGGUGACUGCACGGCUAGAGUGUGUCAGAGGGGGGUAGAAUUCCACGUGUAGCAGUGAAAUGCGUAGAGAUGUGGAGGAAUACCGAUGGCGAAGGCAGCCCCCUGGGAUAACACUGACACUGAGGCACGAAAGCGUGGGGAGCAAACAGG
rnacentral:rRNA from 1 species